UACGUAGGGUGCAAGCGUUGUCCGGAAUUCUUGGGCGUAAAGAGCUCGUAGGCGGUCUGUCGCGUCUGCUGUGAAAACUCAGGGCUUAACCCUGAGCUUGCAGUGGGUACGGGCAGACUAGAGUGCGGUAGGGGAGACCGGAAUUCCUGGUGUAGCGGUGGAAUGCGCAGAUAUCAGGAGGAACACCGAUGGCGAAGGCAGGUCUCUGGGCCACUACUGACGCUGAGAAGCGAAAGCAUGGGGAGCGAACAGG
rnacentral:rRNA from 1 species